AAACAAUCUGACCUUUCUUAGGGAUUCUGACCCAACUGCAGUGGAAGACAGCUAAUAUCUUCCAGGAUUUUCCAUGAUUAAGGCAGAGAGGAUCCAGCUUGGGAGAGAGAAGCUGACAGCCCACAGCUGCCACCUCCCCAAGGGGCUGUGCUUUGUUUUGGGUUUUGGGAACCUGACCCCUGAAAUCCAGCAGCAAAGGCAGCCAGGCUGAUCAAACUGGAGGUCUCCCUGUCCUCUCAGCCCCACUGCUCCCCUCCCCUGGGCUCUGAAGAGCGCUGCCCUCCCUGCUCAGGGUUUCUGUCAUCCCUGCUGUUGACACACUGCUCAUGACCCAGAGCUGGCAUCACUCACAGAAGACUUUUGGAGGACAGCACUGAAGUGUUUGGGUUCAAUGGGACGGGGUGGCAAGGAGGGAAACAAAUUAGAGGCACAGGAGGGUGUCAGGUUCGGGUGAAUAAAUUCUUCAUCAUCACAGUGCCUGCACAACCAAAACUCUGUCAAAUAGAGACUGUCCAAGGUUUUUUUCUUCUCUUGCAUUGCUUUUCCUAUUUCCCUCUUGCUUUCUCAGAAAUAGAACAUGACAUUUAUUUUUAUGGACAGCAGGAUCUUAUGGCUAUUCCCCUGUGAUGGAGUAAUCUGAACACAAUUAUGUUCUGUUGACAAAAAGUGAUAAAAGUGUAUUGUGUCAACACUCUGAACUAACAGAUUUGUCAUCUGCUCUACUCCCAAAUAAUAGAAGCAGAAUUAUAAAAUGCUCUGACAGACUCUACCUUUUUCUGUGGUUAAAUAAACGCCAGCUCUGUGCUUCGUUACUAUA